rnacentral:rRNA from 1 species
UACAGAGGUCUCAAGCGUUGUUCGGAUUCAUUGGGCGUAAAGGGCGCGUAGGCUGCGGGGUAAGUCAGGUGUGAAAUCUCAGAGCUCAACUCUGAAAUUGCACUUGAUACUGCUCUGCUAGAGGACUGGAGAGGAGAUUGGAAUUCACGGUGUAGCAGUGAAAUGCGUAGAUAUCGUGAGGAAGACCGGUGGCGAAGGCGGAUCUCUGGACAGUUCCUGACGCUGAGGCGCGAACGGAGCCAGGGGAGCGAAACGGG